GAUGAACGCUGGCGGCGUGCCUAAUACAUGCAAGUCGAGCGAACAGACGAGGAGCUUGCUCCUCUGACGUUAGCGGCGGACGGGUGAGUAACACGUGGAUAACCUACCUAUAAGACUGGGAUAACUUCGGGAAACCGGAGCUAAUACCGGAUAAUAUAUUGAACCGCAUGGUUCAAUAGUGAAAGACGGUUUUGCUGUCACUUAUAGAUGGAUCCGCGCCGCAUUAGCUAGUUGGUAAGGUAACAGCUUACCAAGGCAACGAUGCGUAGCCGACCUGAGAGGGUGAUCGGCCACACUGGAACUGAGACACGGUCCAGACCCCUACGGGAGGCAGCAGUAGGGAAUCUUCCGCAAUGGGCGAAAGCCUGACGGAGCAACGCCGCGUGAGUGAUGAAGGCCUUCGGAUCGUAAAACUCUGUUAUUAGGGAAGAACAAAUGUGUAAGUAACUAUGCACGUCUUGACGGUACCUAAUCAGAAAGCCACGGCUAACUACGUG
rnacentral:rRNA from 1 species